AUUAGAUACCCUGGGUAGUCCACGCAGUAAACGAUGAUCACUAGCUGUUUGCGAUACAGUGUAAGCGGCACAGCGAAAGCGUUAAGUGAUCCACCUGGGGAGUACGCCGGCAACGGUGAAACUCAAAGGAAUUGACGGGGGCCCGCACAAGCGGAGGAACAUGUGGUUUAAUUCGAUGAUACGCGAGGAACCUUACCCGGGUUUGAACGCAUUCGGACCGAGGUGGAAACACCUUUUCUAGCAAUAGCCGUUUGCGAGGUGCUGCAUGGUUGUCGUCAGCUCGUGCCGUGAGGUGUCGGCUUAAGUGCCAUAACGAGCGCAACCCUUGCCACUAGUUACUAACAGGUUAGGCUGAGGACUCUGGUGGGACUGCCAGCGUAAGCUGCGAGGAAGGCGGGGAUGACGUCAAAUCAGCACGGCCCUUACAUCCGGGGCGACACACGUGUUACAAUGGCGUGGACAAAGGGAAGCCACCUGGCGACAGGGAGCGAAUCCCCAAACCACGUCUCAGUUCGGAUCGGAGUCUGCAACCCGACUCCGUGAAGCUGGAUUCGCUAGUAAUCGCGCAUCAGCCAUGGCGCGGUGAAUACGUUCCCGGGCCUUGUACACACCGCCCGUCAAGCCAUAGGAGCCGGGGGUACCUGAAGUCCGUAACCGAAAGGAUCGGCCUAGGGUAAAACUGGUGACUGGGGCUAAGUCGUAACAAGGUACC
rnacentral:rRNA from 1 species